CUUUGGUACAGUAGGUAGUGCUUCAAUCUCGAAAACUGAAGGUCCAGAGUUCGAUCCUCGGAAG
rnacentral:tRNA from 1 species